CAACAUUUUAUGACCUCUGCUGGGGAUAGGAGACAUGGCUACAUAGAUCCAUUCUUCUACUCAUUGAGAAACAUGGAGCCAAAGCUCAUUUGCGUGUCUCAGAAGUGCUCUAGAGUAAACAUAGUCUACAGUUGCAUACAAAAGAGGAAAUGAGACUUCAACAAGAUAUAAAACAAACAAGAAAAUAAAAAGAGGUGAAGUGGCUCAUAAAAAUGAAGAACUGCUCAAAUCUCAGUGAUUUUUUAAUCUUUAUUAGAAAUGUCUCAGAAUUACAUCACAUCAUGACAAAGAAGUAUAUUUCAUUUAUGUUUCUCCUUUGUGAUUCCCAAAAUGCCAGAAAGCAAUCUACAGAAUUUUCCAUCCUUUUUACUCUCUGCUAGUAAGGGAGAGUAUCCUCAUUCUCCAAUAAACACAA